rnacentral:rRNA from 1 species
CCUACGGGAGGCAGCAGUGAGGAAUAUUGGUCAAUGGGCGCUAGCCUGAACCAGCCAAGUAGCGUGAAGGAUGACUGCCCUAUGGGGUGUAAACUUCUUUUAUAGGGGAAUAAAGUGCAGUAGGUAUACGGCUUUGCAUGUACCUUAUGAAUAAGGAUCGGCUAACUCCGUGCCAGCAGCCGCGGUAAUACGGAGGAUCCGAGCGUUAUCCGGAUUUAUUGGGUUUAAAGGGAGCGUAGGCGGGUUGUUAAGGCCGUGGUGAAAGUUUGCGGCUCAACCGUUAAAUUGCAGUUGAUACUGGCAUCCUUGAGUUCAGUUGCGGUAGGCGGAAUUCGUGGUGUAGCGGUGAAAUGCUUAGCUAUCACG